rnacentral:rRNA from 1 species
CCUACGGGUGGCAGCAGUGAGGAAUAUUGGUCAAUGGGCGCGAGCCUGAACCAGCCAAGUCGCGUGAGGGAGGACGGCCCUACGGGUUGUAAACCUCUUUUGCCGGGGAGCAACGGGCGCCACGUGUGGCGUCACUGAGAGUACCCGGAGAAAAAGCAUCGGCUAACUCCGUGCCAGCAGCCGCGGUAAUACGGAGGAUGCGAGCGUUAUCCGGAUUUAUUGGGUUUAAAGGGUGCGCAGGCGGCCUGUUAAGUCAGCGGUAAAAGCCCGGGGCUCAACCCCGGCGAGCCGUUGAAACUGGCGGGCUGGAGUUGGAGAGAAGUACGCGGAAUGCGCGGUGUAGCGGUGAAAUGCUUAGAUAUCGCGCAGAACCCCGAUUGCGAAGGCAGCGUACCGGCUCCACACUGACGCUGAGGCACGAAAGCGUGGGUAUCGAACAGGAUUAGAUACCCGUGUAGUC